GGGAGUGUAGCUCAGUGGUAGAGCACUUGCCUCUCAUGCAUGGGCUCUGGGUUGGAUCCCUAGCAUUGCAA
rnacentral:tRNA from 1 species